rnacentral:pre_miRNA from 1 species
AUAAUACUCCCUCCGUCCCAAAAUUUUUGUCUUAAAUUUGUCUAAGUACGGAUGUAUCAAGUCACGUUUUAGUAUUAGGUACAUCCAUAUCUAGACAAAUCUAAAAUAAGAAUUUUAGG